rnacentral:rRNA from 1 species
UAUGUGAUCGUCUCUCGCAUAUCAAUAAGCGGAGGAAAAGAAACUAACAAGGAUUCCCCUAGUAACGGCGAGUGAAGCGGGAAGAGCUCAAAUUUGAAAUCUUAAAGGGUUUCCCUUUACGAAUUGUAGUUUAAAGAAGUGUUUUCUGUUGAGGUUUUGGUAAAAGUUCUUUGGAAUAGGACAUCAUAGAGGGUGAGAAUCCCGUAUUUGACCUUUACUUUCAACUUUGUGAUACACUUUCAAAGAGUCGGAUUGUUUGGGAAUGCAGUCCGAAAUGGGUGGUAAAUUUCAGUCUAAAGCUAAAUAUUGGCGAGAGACCGAUAGCGAACAAGUACCGUGAGGGAAAGAUGAAAAGAACUUUGAAAAGAGAGUUAAACAGUACGUGAAAUUGUCAAAAGGGAAGCGUUUGACACCAGUGUUGUUUUUCUGAAAAUCAAUUAAAGAACUGUUUAUGCUAAGUUGUUUAGACUUUAUCAGCUAACUGUUUAGUUUUGAGCUCUUCUUUAAUGCACUUUUCAGUUAACAAGUCAACAUCAAUUUCUUUUGCUGUAAAAAAGCUUGAGGAAGGUGGCUUGAGAUUCGUCUUAAGUGUUUAUAGCCUCUUGCCUAUGCAGUCGGAGAGAUUGAGGUCUGCAGCGUAGAUCCUUCGGGGCUAAAUGCAUUUGUGCUAAGUUAUAGCAUUUUCAUAGACAACUUGUUGACUAUGAUUUGUCUUGUAGCUUACUCGCUUAUGUUAUUUUACCUACGCUUAGGAUGUUGACUGAUAUGUAGUCGUA